rfam:Corchorus olitorius cultivar O-4 contig14288, whole genome shotgun sequence.
GCACCCUAUGAAGAAUAAUUCUUGAAAUUAAAAGUAGUGGACUGACCAUUAUUGAUGAGUAAUGAAUCUGAGGAUGC